CGUAGGGUGCGAGUCGUUAAUCGGAAUUACUGGGCGUAAAGCGUGCGCAGGCGGUUUGUUAAGAUAGGCGUGAAAUCCCCGGGCUCAACCUGGGAACUGCGCUUAUGACUGGCAAGCUAGAGUACGGCAGAGGGGGGUGGAAUUCCACGUGUAGCAGUGAAAUGCGUAGAGAUGUGGAGGAACACCAAUGGCGAAGGCAGCCCCCUGGGUCGAUACUGACGCUCAUGCACGAAAGCGUGGGUAGCAAACAGGAUUAGAUACCCUGGUAGUCCACGCCCUAAACGAUGUCAACUAGGUGUUGGAUGGGUAAAACCAUUUAGUACCGGAGCUAACGCGUGAAGUUGACCGCCUGGGGAGUACGGCCGCAAGGUUA
rnacentral:rRNA from 1 species